UGGCGGCACGCCUAACACAUGCAAGUCGAACGAAGUAGCAAUACUUAGUGGCAGACGGGUGAGUAACAUGUAGGUAUCUGCCCUUUGGCCUGGAAUAACACGAGGAAACUUGUGCUAAUACCGGAUAGGUCUUUACGGAGAAAGCUUUAUGCACCAUUGGAUGAGCCUGCACUUGAUUAGUUUGUUGGUAGGGUAAUGGCCUACCAAGACUAUGAUCAAUAGCUGAUUUGAGAGGAUGAUCAGCCACAUUGGGACUGAGACACGGCCCAAACUCCUACGGGAGGCAGCAGUGGGGAAUCUUGCACAAUGGAGGAAACUCUGAUGCAGCGAUGCCGCGUGAGUGAAGAAGGCCCUUGGGUUGUAAAGCUCUUUCGUCGGGGAAGAAAAUGACUGUACCCGAAUAAGAAGGUCCGGCUAACUUCGUGCCAGCAGCCGCGGUAAUACGAAGGGACCUAGCGUAGUUCGGAAUUACUGGGCUUAAAGAGUUCGUAGGUGGUUGAAAAAGUUGGUGGUGAAAUCCCAGAGCUUAACUCUGGAACUGCCAUCAAAACUUUUCAGCUAGAGUAUGAUAGAGGAAAGCAGAAUUUCUAGUGUAGAGGUGAAAUUCGUAGAUAUUAGAAAGAAUACCAAUUGCGAAGGCAGCUUUCUGGAUCAUUACUGACACUGAGGAACGAAAGCAUGGGUAGCGAAGAGGAUUAGAUACCCUCGUAGUCCAUGCCGUAAACGAUGUGUGUUAGACGUUGGAAAUUUAUUUUCAGUGUCGCAGCGAAAGCGAUAAACACACCGCCUGGGGAGUACGACCGCAAGGUUAAAACUCAAAUGAAUUGACGGGGACCCGCACAAGUAGUGGAGCAUGUGGUUUAAUUCGAAGAUACGCGCAGAACCUUACCAACACUUGACAUGUUCGUCGCGACUUUAAGAGAUUAAAGUUUUCGGUUCGGCCGGA
rnacentral:rRNA from 1 species